rnacentral:rRNA from 1 species
UACGAAGGGGGCUAGCGUUGCUCGGAAUCACUGGGCGUAAAGCGCACGUAGGCGGCUUGUUAAGUCAGGGGUGAAAUCCUGGAGCUCAACUCCAGAACUGCCUUUGAUACUGGCGAUCUUGAGUCCGGGAGAGGUGAGUGGAACUGCGAGUGUAGAGGUGAAAUUCGUAGAUAUUCGCAAGAACACCAGUGGCGAAGGCGGCUCACUGGCCCGGUACUGACGCUGAGGCGCGAAAGGGUGGGGAGCAAACAGG